CUUGUCCUCACUCCUUUGUCAACUCCACGAGAGCAGGGAGCAGGGCUGCCAUUCCCCUUGCUUAGCACAGAGCUUGGCAGAUGCGCAUUCUUGGGACCCCCCCCCCCAGCCUGGAAAGCUGGAGGAGGAAGGAGCUGCACCCCAGAGCCUGCCUGGUCCCCAAGCUCCAGCUUCCUCCAAAGGUGCCGAAUCCUGGGAUUUACUCCCCCUCGUGGUUUGACGAAAUACAGCUUCUCUGGAUGAAAAAGGACCACGUUUAAGCCACAGCUCCUCGCAGCUCUGGACGUGCAGCUGUUCAGAAGCUUCCAGUUGCAAAUUAGGGGUGAACCGAGAGGAUGAGUACGUGCGUCCUUUGAGAAGAGAAUGGGAAGUGGGCUCCUGGUGGGGGGCAGAGGGGGGGAGCGUGGAAGGGCAGGCCGUGUUGUCUGGAAUUCUGGUCCUGGAUAGGUUUGCCUGGGACCUGCCAGAGACCCACGUUCUGAGGAUGUUUUGCUGACGACGCCCCAGAAACAAAGGCGAGAGCCAAACACAAUCCAAGGGAAAGCAGGAGGGAUAAACACAAAGAAAGAAAGAAAGAAAAAAGGAAACCAGGCAACCGACCUUUGAAAUUCUUUAUCCUCUUUCUACGAAGCGGAAGAAAACAGGAGCAGGCCUUCAAGCGUUAGGGUGUUGCCCCAGGCUUUCCUGCGUGGGGCUGGUAGACUGGUCUGUUGUUGUUUUUAAAGAUUUUAUUUUUUAUUUGUGAGACACAGAGAGUGAGGCAGAGACACAGGCAGAGGGAGAAACAGGCUCCCUGCGGGGAGUGGAUGCGGGACUCGAUCCCGGGACCCUGGGGUCACGCCCUGAGCCCAAGGCAGAUGCUCCACCACUGAGCCCCCAGGGUGCCUGCCCUUGGUGAUUCCAAUGUGAGAACCACUGGUCUAACUCCGAAGCCAGUUAGCGGCUAGUGCUGGGAGCCCCAAGGUGCAAUUAGCUGAGACACAGGCCGCAGCCAGACUUCUCUCUGCCAGUACCUCAGAGCGCCCCUUUUCCCCCAGCUCAGCCUCGAUUUCCCUCCUCUGUCUGUCUUCUCCUCCUGCCUACCUCCAGGCACCCCAGGAAUCGCUCCUCUGGAAAUCCCUGUCUGGCCCCCAGCAUCCCCCCUGGGCUGCCCACCCCCCUGCAAAGCCCUCUGGGUUCCUCCAGCCCCACCCCCUCCUUCCUGCUACCGCAGAAACUUCCGUACCCCUUCCUGGGCUCCACUGAUGCCCACGUUGGCUUACACCAGCUGGUUUAUUCCCCCGACCCCACCCAAGAGGGUGUGUGAUCUUUCCUCUUUAGGGAGCAGGGGGGUGGAGCCAUUGGGCAGGCCCCCAAAGACUCCUGCAUCUGGUUCCUCACCUGUAAAGUGAGAAUAAUUUGCCACCUCACAGGAGUGAUGUCAUGUGAGGCCAGGUGGGCCGAGCCACCCGGAUCAGGUGCUUCCCAGUGGACCCUAGAGGAAGCCUGGAACUCUGCACGUGUCUAUCACUUCGGGUGUUAGGUGUCGGUAGCAGGUGGUGAGGACUCCUCUAAGAAACAGUGUCUACCUGGUGGUUCUCCACCUUGGUCAGACAUUGGAGUCACCUGGGGGGGCCUUCAAAGCGGUGAGGCGCCCAGGCUGAGCCUGAGACCAGUUAAAUCUGUACUGCUGUGAGUGGAGAGAGCAAGCAUGAGUAUUUUUUUGUUUUUUUUAAGCAUAAGUAUUUUUAAUGGCCACUAGGAGAUUCCAGUGCACCGCCAAGGCCAAGAACAAGGCUUUGGGGUCUGUGGGACCGGAGUGUACUGAUCUCGAGCCAGUCAGCAAGCUCUGAGUUCGUUUCUCCCAUCAGAAAAAUGGGAAUAAAAUAUGUACUUCGUCGUUUGAUUAUGCAGAUUCGUCGAGACGGUUCUGCACAGGGCCUGGCCCGGUGCUCAGGUUCUCCCUUCUGUUGGGGGAAUUGGGAGCCGGGGGUGGACAUCCGAGGUCCGUGGCAGGCCAAGGCCCUCUCAGCAGCCCUGGGCCCAUCCGGCGUGCCUCGGCCCUCCCCCGGGCUCAGCGCUUAUCUGCCUGGUGCUCGUGCUGCUCUGGGUCCAGCAAGUUCAUGAAUCCAGCUCUCGCAAGGCCCACAGGGAGCCUGGCUUCUCCCCACGGGGCAGGGUAGGGGGCAUGUCAACGGCUUGAUUCCGUUAAAAAAAAGUGAGUAAUGAUUAAAAGAAAGAGGCAAAUGA